GGCUCAGAAUCAACGCUGGCGGCGCGCCUAACACAUGCAAGUCGCACGAGAAAGCGGGGGCAACCCUGUGAGUAAAGUGGCGCACGGGUGAGUAACACGUGGGUAAUCUGCCUUCUGGUGGGGAAUAACCCUGGGAAACCGGGGCUAAUACCGCAUAAGCCCGAAAGGGGAACGCAGCAAUGCGCCGGAAGAGGAGCCCGCGGCCGAUUAGCUUGUUGGUGAGGUAACGGCUCACCAAGGCCACGAUCGGUAGCCGGCCUGAGAGGGCACUCGGCCACACUGGCACUGAAACACGGGCCAGACUCCUACGGGAGGCAGCAGUGGGGAAUCUUGCACAAUGGGGGAAACCCUGAUGCAGCGACGCCGCGUGAGCGAUGAAGCCCUUCGGGGUGUAAAGCUCUUUCGGCAGGAACGAUGAUGACGGUACCUGCAGAAGAAGCUGCGGCUAACUACGUGCCAGCAGCCGCGGUAAUACGUAGGCAGCAAGCGUUGUUCGGAGUUACUGGGCGUAAAGAGUGCGUAGGCGGUGCUUUAAGUUUGGUGUGAAAUCUCCCGGCUUAACCGGGAGGGUGCGCCGAAAACUGGAGUGCUCGAGUGCGGGAGAGGAGAGCGGAAUUCCUGGUGUAGCGGUGAAAUGCGUAGAUAUCAGGAGGAACACCUGCGGUGUAGACGGCUCUCUGGACCGCUACUGACGCUGAGGCACGAAAGCGUGGGGAGCAAACAGGAUUAGAUACCCUGGUAGUCCACGCCCUAAACGAUGCACACUUGGUGUGGGCAGUUCAUUCUGUCUGUGCCGGAGUUAACGCGUUAAGUGUGCCGCCUGGGGAGUACGGUCGCAAGGCUGAAACUCAAAU
rnacentral:rRNA from 1 species